GAGCAAUCUGUGUGACUGCGUACCUUUUGUAUAAUGGGUCAGCGACUUAUAUUCUGUAGCAAGGUUAACCGAAUAGGGGAGCCGAAGGGAAACCGAGUCUUAACUGGGCGUUAAGUUGCAGGGUAUAGACCCGAAACCCGGUGAUCUAGCCAUGGGCAGGUUGAAGGUUGGGUAACACUAACUGGAGGACCGAACCGACUAAUGUUGAAAAAUUAGCGGAUGACUUGUGGCUGGGGGUGAAAGGCCAAUCAAACCGGGAGAUAGCUGGUUCUCCCCGAAAGCUAUUUAGGUAGCGCCUCGUGAAUUCAUCUCCGGGGGUAGAGCACUGUUUCGGCAAGGGGGUCAUCCCGACUUACCAACCCGAUGCAAACUGCGAAUACCGGAGAAUGUUAUCACGGGAGACACACGGCGGGUGCUAACGUCCGUCGUGAAGAGGGAAACAACCCAGACCGCCAGCUAAGGUCCCAAAGUCAUGGUUAAGUGGGAAACGAUGUGGGAAGGCCCAGACAGCCAGGAUGUUGGCUUAGAAGCAGCCAUCAUUUAAAGAAAGCGUAAUAGCUCACUGGUCGAGUCGGCCUGCGCGGAAGAUGUAACGGGGCUAAACCAUGCACCGAAGCUGCGGCAGCGACGCUUAUGCGUUGUUGGGUAGGGGAGCGUUCUGUAAGCCUGCGAAGGUGUGCUGUGAGGCAUGCUGGAGGUAUCAGAAGUGCGAAUGCUGACAUAAGUAACGAUAAAGCGGGUGAAAAGCCCGCUCGCCGGAAGACCAAGGGUUCCUGUCCAACGUUAAUCGGGGCAGGGUGAGUCGACCCCUAAGGCGAGGCCGAAAGGCGUAGUCGAUGGGAAACAGGUUAAUAUUCCUGUACUUGGUGUUACUGCGAAGGGGGGACGGAGAAGGCUAUGUUGGCCGGGCGACGGUUGUCCCGGUUUAAGCGUGUAGGCUGGUUUUCCAGGCAAAUCCGGAAAAUCAAGGCUGAGGCGUGAUGACGAGGCACUACGGUGCUGAAGCAACAAAUGCCCUGCUUCCAGGAAAAGCCUCUAAGCAUCAGGUAACAUCAAAUCGUACCCCAAACCGACACAGGUGGUCAGGUAGAGAAUACCAAGGCGCUUGAGAGAACUCGGGUGAAGGAACUAGGCAAAAUGGUGCCGUAACUUCGGGAGAAGGCACGCUGAUAUGUAGGUGAAGUCCCUCGCGGAUGGAGCUGAAAUCAGUCGAAGAUACCAGCUGGCUGCAACUGUUUAUUAAAAACACAGCACUGUGCAAACACGAAAGUGGACGUAUACGGUGUGACGCCUGCCCGGUGC
rnacentral:rRNA from 1 species